GUUGUGGUUGCUCUGUGGUCAAGGCAUUGGACUAGUGAUCCAAAGGUUGUUGGUUCAAUUCCCAAUUUGGAUCG